rnacentral:rRNA from 1 species
UGGGGAAUAUUGCACAAUGGAGGGAACUCUGAUGCAGCGACGCCGCGUGAGUGAUGAAGGAAUUCGUUUCGUAAAACUCUGUUCUAUGGGAAGAAAAGGACUGUACCAUAGGAGAAAGCUCCGGCUAAAUACGUGCCAGCAGCCGCGGUAAUACGUAUGGAGCGAGCGUUGUCCGGAAUUAUUGGGCGUAAAGGGUGCGCAGGCGGCUUUACAAGUUGGAUGUGAAAUAUUGUGGCUCAACCACAAACGUGCAUCCAAAACUGCAAAGCUUGAGUUAAGAGAGGAAAGUGGAAUUCCUGGUGUAGCGGUGGAAUGCGUAGAUAUCAGGAGGAAUACCGGUGGCGAAGGCGACUUACUGGACUUAAACUGACGCUCAGGCACGAAAGCGUGGGGAGCAAACAGG